UGGGAGGCAAAGGUUGCAGUGAGCCGAGAUCGCACCAUUGCACUCUAGCCUGGGCAACAAGAGUGAAACUCCAUCUCAAAAUAAAAUAAAAAUUUAAAAAAUAUUUUGAGACAGAAUCUCACUUUGUUGCCCAGGCUGGAGUGCAGUGGCGUGAUCUCGGCUCACUGCAACCUGGGCCUCCCA
rnacentral:pre_miRNA from 1 species